rfam:Oryza glumipatula chromosome 4, whole genome shotgun sequence.
GAUAAGCGCAUCAAUUUUCGUGUCCAACUUUAAUCGUUCGUCUUAUUUAAUUUAUUUUAUGAUUAGUAUUUCUAUUGUUGUUAAAUUAUAAAACAUGAGUAAUACUUUAUGUGUGAAUUAUAUUUAUGUGUGAAUUAUGCUUUUAGUUUUUUUAAAAAAAAAUUAAAUAAGACGACGAUUAAAAUUAGACACAGAAAUUCAUGGUUACGCUUAUU